rnacentral:lncRNA from 1 species
CAAUAUGUUGCUACUUCAAUUCAUCAAUAUUGUGCACAUUUGGGAUUUGGCCUGUUAUUCGUAGCAAAAGACCUUUUAAAUUUUCGACGAUCCCAAUUCCCAAAAAAACAUGGAGACAAGAGAAAACAAGAGGAUGAGAAAUCAAGAAUCAUUGGAUAGAGAAAAACAAGAAGAAAUUGAUUCUGAUAAAUUAGGCAGUUUACCUGACAGUAUAUUGACUCAUAUACUUUCUUUGAUUGAUACGAGGACCGCUGUCCAAACAUCAGUGCUGUCCAAACGCUACAGAUUUCUGUGGACUUCAUUGCCAAGUCUCAAUUUUUACUAUUUUGGCCAAUCCCGAC